rnacentral:tRNA from 1 species
GGGGUUGUGGCUCGGUGGUAGAGCACUUGCCUAGCAUGCAUGAAGCACUGGGUUCAAUCCCCAGCACCA